GUCUUGUCAAUGAUGUUAAAAUUACAAAUGUCUGAACAUAUGAAUUCUAUUGAUUCAAAGUUUUUUUUUCCUGAGAUAAGAC